GUUGGAAUGAAAUAGGUUGAAACAAGUCGAUUGAACGUUAAUAUAGGUCGGGUAAAUGUGGUGGAAUAGAAGGUAACUCAUCUGAACUUUGAGGCAGUGCCGAGGGCACCUUGUCUCGUGUCUCUUCAAUGCCACGUCUUACGUCACUUAUCGCGUUUUCAUCUGCCGUACCCACUACAUCGUCAAAUUAUUCUAUGUAAUCAAUAGGUUAGACGAUUGCCAUCAUUUAAAAUGGUUAAGAGGCAACUAUUUCCUUUUCCAACUACGUGCGAAACCAAUUUGCAACCAUUUAGCGAGCAUGGUCCUAAAAUACACUCCUGAUCAGCACUUUUUUUUAUUUAAUGGUAACAGUCAUUUUUGAGUUUGGCGGA
rnacentral:lncRNA from 1 species